AGGGGAUCUUCGGACCUUUCGCUAUGAGAUGAGCCUGCGUUAGAUUAGCUAGUUGGUAGGGUAAAGGCCUACCAAGGCGACGAUCUAUAGCUGGUCUGAGAGGACGAUCAGCCACACUGGGACUGAGACACGGCCCAGACUCCUACGGGAGGCAGCAGUGGGGAAUAUUGGACAAUGGGCGAAAGCCUGAUCCAGCAAUACCGCGUGUGUGAAGAAGGCCUUAGGGUUGUAAAGCACUUUCAAUUGGGAGGAAAACCUGUCGGUCAAUACCCGGCAGCUUGACAUUACCUUUAGAAGAAGCACCGGCUAACUCCGUGCCAGCAGCCGCGGUAAUACGGAGGGUGCGAGCGUUAAUCGGAAUUACUGGGCGUAAAGCGUGCGUAGGCGGUUCGUUAAGUCAGAUGUGAAAGCCCUGGGCUCAACCUGGGAACUGCAUUUGAAACUGGCGGACUAGAGUUUAGUAGAGGGGAGUGGAAUUUCAGGUGUAGCGGUGAAAUGCGUAGAUAUCUGAAGGAACACCAGUGGCGAAGGCGACUCCCUGGACUAGAACUGACGCUGAGGUACGAAAGCGUGGGUAGCAAACAGGAUUAGAUACCCUGGUAGUCCAUGCCGUAAACGAUGUCGACUAGC
rnacentral:rRNA from 1 species